GCGUCAACACGCGGGAGCGCGUACCAGCGCGCUGAGAGGACGGGUAGGCCCGUCGACCGUACGAACCUGACCGGGUAAUGCCGGCGUAGGGAGAUACGAGAAUGACCGAU
rnacentral:ncRNA from 1 species